rnacentral:rRNA from 1 species
UUUUCAUAUUUUAAAUUAGCUGAGGAAAAGGAAACCAACAGGGAUUGCCUCAGUAACGGCGAGUGAAGCGGCAAAAGCUCAAAUUUGAAAUCCCCCCGGGGAGUUGUAAUUUGAAGAUUGCGUCUUGGAGGCGACCGUGUCUAUGUUCCUUGGAACAGGACGUCACAGAGGGUGAGAAUCCCGUGCGGCACGGCCCCCGGCUCCUUAUAAGGCGCUCUCGACGAGUCGAGUUGUUUGGGAAUGCAGCUCAAAGUGGGUGGUAAAUUCCAUCUAAAGCUAAAUACAGGCGAGAGACCGAUAGCGAACAAGUACAGUGAUGGAAAGAUGAAAAGCACUUUGAAAAGAGAGUGAAACAGCACGUGAAAUUGUUGAAAGGGAAGGGCAUGCCGUCAGAUUGUCAGUGUGGGUAAGAAGCGGGGUACAAAGACUGUGGAACGUGGCCCUCGGGUGUUAUAGCCGCAGUUCAUGCCCCGUCUCUUUCCGAGGCCUGCUUUGAGGACACCGACGUAAUGACGGUACGCCGCCCGUCUUGAACCACGGACCAAAAUAAUUUUUU